CCGACGUGCGCCGAAAGGAAGGUCGGGCCGGCUGGCUUCGCCCGCGGGGCAAUGCUGCUGCGACCGUUGCGGAGCUGGGCUUCCCGGGCACUGCGCCGCGACAGGCCCGGGAGCCCCGCCUUCAGCCCGGGGUCGCCAGGGGCACAGCGUUUGGUCUGGCCUCGGGAUAAAGGUAGAGAAAAUGAAAAAGAGAAAAAAUCAGUGAUCUGUGUUGAGGGCAACAUUGCAAGCGGGAAGACGACGUGCCUGGAGUUCUUCUCCAACACAACAGACAUCGAGGUGUUAACGGAGCCCGUGCCCAAGUGGAGAAAUGUCCGAGGCCAUAAUCCUCUGGGUCUGAUGUACCGGGACGCCUGUCGAUGGGGCCUUACGCUGCAGACAUAUGUGCAGCUCACCAUGCUGGACCAGCACACUCGUCCUCAGACAUUGCCUGUACGGUUGAUGGAGCGGUCGAUUCACAGCGCAAGAUACGUUUUUGUAGAAAACUUGUAUAGAAGUGGGAAGAUGCCUGAAGUGGACUAUGUGGUCCUGUCGGAAUGGUUUGACUGGAUUGUGAGGAACAUCGACGUGUCCAUUGACUUGAUAGUUUAUCUCCAGACCACUCCUGAGACCUGUUACCAGAGGCUAAAGAUGAGAUGCAGGGAAGAGGAGAAGGUCAUUCCACUGGAAUACCUGGAUGCUAUUCACCACCUGUAUGAGGAGUGGCUCAUCAAAGGGAGCCUUUUCCCUGUGGCGGCCCCUGUUCUGGUGAUUGAGGCUGACCACGACAUGGAGAAAAUGUUAGAACUCUUUGAACAAAACCGGCACCGAAUACUAAUUCCAGAGGAUCGGAAGCUUGGUCCAUAGGACGGGGAAGAUCAUGCCAGAGAAAUGCCCACUGAAGCCAAGUUAGCUCUCACAAGCAGUUUGGAACAAUCCACUCUCGGGAGGGCUUUCUGUCUGGGCACAUUUGUCUUCCUAAUGGUCUUCUCUCCUUUGCCAGUGUCUUUAUCCUGGGAUUCUGGCCCUCGUGGUUAAGGUGGAGUAGGACAUAGGGGGAACGGAAGAUGGAAUACAAACAGAUGAAUCACAAGUAACCACACUGAAGGUGCUGGGAAGAAAAGAACUUAACUGAAGUAAACUUGGAAAACAGUACCUUGAUUGGAUACAAGAAGAGUAAAGGUGCCUUAAGGGUGCCGAGGGAAACUGCUAUUCAGAGAUACAGGGUGACUCUCCCAAGGUCACAGGCUGAGCUGGGAUGUGAAGGGGACAGGAAGCCCCCCUGAGGUCGUCACUAUGCAUACCUCACCUCAUUAACUCUUCUGAGCCUCCUGUGAGUGGAGCAGAGCCGAGGUCAGUCUGGGUUCUUGCCUUGCCCCAAGAGCAAGUGGGAAAGCACAGCACGCCUGCAUCCUUCCACACCCCCGUCUGCAGCGGUCGCUGCCCGUGCCGCCCAGCACCCUCAGCCCACCCUGAUAUCGCCUGCGAAGGCUCCUGACUCCUCCUGCUUGAGAGCCUUCUUUGGCUGGUGUGCGGGCUGCAAGUGCCAGGGAGUUAACACCCAGGGGCAACCCUCAGCCAACCAAGGAGGGUCAGUGGAUAGAAACCCCAGCUUCCUGCCCUUGGUGGGACAGUUCUGAGGUGUGUUUUACUCUUUCAGAGGGUCCCCAGUGGAUCACCCCAGUUGCCCACAGCAAUAACCUGCUCAUUGAUGCAUCUGUGUCGACUCUUCUCCCUCCCGGUCUUAAUUCCUGACUCCUUCACUGUGCUUCCUGGGAUCACCUCCCACAUAAACUAUUUAUACCCAGAUCUUGAGUCAGGGACAGCUUUUGGAGGAAUUGAGAUGGAUAUAAUCACCUAUGCACUCUCCCAUCAAGCCUUCCCU